CCUACGGGAGGCAGCAGUGAGGAAUAUUGGUCAAUGGGCUUACGCCUGAACCAGCCAAGUCGCGUGAGGGAAGACUGCCCUAUGGGUUGUAAACCUCUUUUGUCAGGGAGCAACGUCGGCUACGUGUAGCCGGACUGAGAGUACCUGAAGACAAGCAUCGGCUAACUCCGUGCCAGCAGCCGCGGUAAUACGGAGGAUGCGAGCGUUAUCCGGAUUUAUUGGGUUUAAAGGGUGCGUAGGCGGAAUGCCAAGUCAGCGGUAAAAUCGCGGGGCUCAACCUCGCUCCGCCGUUGACACUGGCGGUCUGGAGUGGGCGAGGAGUAGGCGGAAUGCGUGGUGUAGCGGUGAAAUGCAUAGAUAUCACGCAGAACACCGAUUGCGAAGGCAGCAUACCGGCGCCCAACUGACGCUGAGGCACGAAAGCGUGGGUAUCGAACAGGAUUAGAUACCCGAGUAGUC
rnacentral:rRNA from 1 species